rnacentral:lncRNA from 1 species
CUCAGACCUUCUGGGGCCCCUUUCAAUAAGCAGCUGCUGGCCGGCCAGCCCUUGGGGGCAGGGCUGGAACCGGGGCUAGAACCGGGGCUAGGGCCGGGGGCAGGUGGUCCUGCCUGCUCUAUACUUAGACCAGUGGAGCCAGUCUGGGCUCUUGUCCUCCAGCUGUGUCAUCAGAGAAUAUUUUUGGGAUUGGCAGCUGCAGGCGCCUCUGCCACUCAGGCCCAAGCCUGGCGGGCGGCUGGGGACCUGGCGGCUGGAGGUGGGAGGGAGGAGGGGGAAGAGGCCCAAGCUGUGGGAGGGGGCUGGGAAGAGAGGCUCCUAAGAGCAGGAAGCCAGGCAGCGGGCAGGGGAGGCUGCGGGGCCACUCGCUGGAGAGGCAAACAGGAAGGACUGCCCCCUGAGCGCCAGGCUUCGGGCCCGGGAAUCGCCGCCGCCGCCGCCGCAGAGCUGCAGCUCGGGGCCGAGGGCGGGGGCGCUGCUCCAGGUGCACCAGCCCCCCGAGAGCCCGCCCGCGGACCCCGACGAGGCCCCCGCGCCGGUGGUGGAGCCGCUCAAGUGCGCGCCUAAGACCUUCUGGGUGAACG